rnacentral:rRNA from 1 species
CAGCAGCCGCGGGAAUACGAAGGUCCCGAGCGUUGUUCGGAAUCACUGGGCGUAAAGGGAGCGCAGGCGGCGUGGUAAGUCAGAUGUGAAAUCCCGGGGCUCAACCCCGGAACUGCAUCCGAUACUGCCGUGCUAGAGGAUUGGAGAGGUAGCUGGAAUUCUUGGUGUAGCAGUGAAAUGCGUGGAGAUCAAGAGGAACACUCGUGGCGAAAGCGAGCUACUGGACAAUAUCUGACGCUGAGGCUCGAAGGCCAGGGUAGCGAAAGGGAUUAGAUACCCCUGUAGUCCCUGUCUCUUAUAC